UACAGAGGGGGCAAGCGUUGCUCGGAAUUACUGGGCGUAAAGGGCGCGUAGGCGGCCUGUUAAGUCGGACGUGAAAUCCCUCGGCUCAACCGGGGAACUGCGUCCGAAACUGGCGGGCUUGAAUUCGGGAGAGGGAUGUGGAAUUCCAGGUGUAGCGGUGAAAUGCGUAGAUAUCUGGAGGAACACCGGUGGCGAAGGCGGCAUCCUGGACCGACAUUGACGCUGAGGCGCGAAAGCCAGGGGAGCAAACGGG
rnacentral:rRNA from 1 species